rnacentral:lncRNA from 1 species
UAGGAGUCCGGACGGAGUCUACCUGCAAAUUGAAGUCGGGGACGAAGUCCGGCUCCCAUAGGAGUCCGGGCGGAGUCAUCCUACAGUCGAAGUCGAGGAUGAAGUCCGACUCCCGUAGGGGUCCGGACAGAGUCUACUUGCAAAUUGAAGUCGGGGAUGAAGUCCGGCUCCCGUAGGAGUCCGGGCGGAGUCUUCCUGCAGCC